rnacentral:rRNA from 1 species
UCUAGUAACGGCGAGUGAACAAGCAAAAGCUCAGUUUUGAAAGCCUGUUCUGCAGGCAUUGUAUUCUGAAGCCUAGAUUCUGGGAAACGGUGUUUAAGUCUUCUGGAAAGGAGCGCCACGGAGGGUGAUAGCCCCGUACGGCACUAACCCCAUUGUAGUUUCUAGGCGUGGAGUCGAGUUGUUUGGGAAUGCAGCUCAAAUGGGAGGUAUGCUCCUUCUAAAGCUAAAUAUGUGCGAGAGACCGAUAGCGAACAAGUACUGUGAAGGAAAGAUGAAAAGAACUUUGAAAAGAGAGUGAAAUAGGACGUGAAAUUGUUGAAAUGGAAGGGUAGGCCGCUAACAAUGUAGGACCGUGUCUGAGGGGAAGAUAAAAGCCACAGAACGUAGCUCUUCGGAGUGUUAUAGCUGUAGUCAAUGUUCCCACUUGGGCGCGAGGAUCUCAGGU